UACGGAGGGUGCAAGCGUUAUCCGGAUUCACUGGGUUUAAAGGGUGUGUAGGCGGGCAUGUAAGUCAGUGGUGAAAUCUCCAGGCUCAACCUGGAAACUGCCAUUGAUACUAUAUGUCUUGAAUUUUGUUGAGGUUGGUCGGAAUUGAUGUCAUGUAGCGGUGAAAUGCAUAGAUAUGACAUAGAACACCGAUGCGAAGGCAGCUAACUAAGCAAACAUUGACGCUGAGGCACGAAAGCGUGGGGAUCAAACAGG
rnacentral:rRNA from 1 species